rnacentral:rRNA from 1 species
UACAGAGGGUGCGAGCGUUGUUCGGAAUUAUUGGGCGUAAAGAGCGCGUAGGCGGUCCGAUAAGUCGGCUGUGAAAGUCAGGGGCUCAACCCUUGAAAGCCGGCCGAUACUGUCGGACUAGAGUCCGGAAGAGGCAAGUGGAAUUCCCGGUGUAGCGGUGAAAUGCGCAGAUAUCGGGAGGAACACCAAUGGCGAAGGCAGCUUGCUGGGACGGUACUGACGCUGAGGUGCGAAAGCGUGGGGAGCAAACAGG